CCUACGGGUGGCUGCAGUGGGGAAUAUUGGACAAUGGGCGAAAGCCUGAUCCAGCCAUGCCGCGUGUGUGAAGAAGGCCUUCGGGUUGUAAAGCACUUUCAGUGGGGAAGAAAGCCUUGGGGCUAAUACCCUCGAGGAAGGACAUCACCCACAGAGGAAGCACCGGCUAACUCCGUGCCAGCAGCCGCGGUAAUACGGAGGGUGCGAGCGUUAAUCGGAAUUACUGGGCGUAAAGCGCGCGUAGGCGGUCUGAUAAGCCGGUUGUGAAAGCCCCGGGCUCAACCUGGGAACGGCAUCCGGAACUGUCAGGCUAGAGUGCAGGAGAGGAAGGUAGAAUUCCCGGUGUAGCGGUGAAAUGCGUAGAGAUCGGGAGGAAUACCAGUGGCGAAGGCGGCCUUCUGGACUGACACUGACGCUGAGGUGCGAAAGCGUGGGUAGCAAACAGGAUUAGAUACCCUUGUAGUC
rnacentral:rRNA from 1 species